GACAGAGGGGGCAAGCGUUGCUCGGAAUGACUGGGCGUAAAGGGCACGUAGGCGGUGAAUCGGGUUGAAAGUCAAAGUCGCCAAAAACUGGCGGAAUGCUCUCGAAACCAAUUCACUUGAGUGAGACAGAGGAGAGUGGAAUUUCGUGUGUAGGGGUGAAAUCGUAGAUCUACGAAGGAACGCCAAAAGCGAAGGCAGCUCUCUGGGUCCCUACCGACGCUGGGUGCGAAAGCAUGGGGAGCGAACAGG
rnacentral:rRNA from 1 species